rnacentral:sRNA from 1 species
CAGGUAUCGUGGGAGGCAUUGGCAUAGAUGUGUUCUGAUUGUCGGCCAAAACACCGGGCUCACGGAAAUGCAGGUGCUGUUUGCUUCAGGAGAGCAUUCUCUGGAUGCCCUCCCAUGCACACAUGCCUGGGGGGUGCUCACCUCCGCCCAGCCCUGAGCUUCUGAGGCCAGAGACUCAAGGGCCCAGGGAAGGGUGGCUACAGUGAGCCUGGGCCGUGAACAUUCACCCCUUUUAUUGCCUUCAGAGGGCUCCUGCCACAGCAGAUGAAGCAAGGAAGUUGGAGGAGGCCAAGUCAAGAGGCUCCCUGGUGGAUUUCAUUAAACGGUUUCCAUGCAUCUUUCUGAGGCUCCUGAUGAACCCACUCUUCGUC